UGGUGUCACUAGCACUGCUUUCACUACCAUAUCAUUGGGGUGACGCUUACAGGACCAAGGCUGGCACUGGCCCUUCCCCUGCGCCAUCUCCUGUCUGCUCUGAGGUCACUCAGAGAGCCGAGUUAGGCUCAGGGCUCCCAAGCACGGGGUCAAUUUCUUUGUACUUUAUUACCUAAAACUUAAACUUUAUUGAGAUGUAAUUCAUGUAGGCUGUGGGCAGAAUCAUGUCCCCCAGGCUAUGCUGCAGCCCUGGAGUCUGGCUCCUGUGGAUGUGACCUUGUUUGGAAAUGGGGCCUUUACAGAGCUACAAGGAGGCGUCCUUGGGUGCAGAUGGAGACGUGGGAUCACACACCAGGACACGUGUUCUUUGUGUCUGGCUUCUUUCACUGUGCAGAACAUCUUCCGGGUUCGUCCACGUUGGCGCACAUGUCGCCGCAUCAUUCCUCUGGCUGAGUAGUAUUCCAAGGAAUACCCCUCCAAGAGCUUGUAACAUCUUUAAAAAGAAAGAAUGCAGGACCUGGCAGAAAGCUGCCACCAGCAGUGCAAAGGGGUGAGUGGAAAAGCGGCUUCCCUUUCUCCGCAGAACCCAGGCCGCUGUUCUUGUGGCUGCUGCAUCCCUUUCUGGGUAUCCAAAAGUGCUCUAUAGUUGCAUGGGGAGUAAAGCCAAUCUCUCCCUUUCCCCCACACGACAGCAUUGUUACAAGUGGUGUCCUGCAUCUUGCUGGUUUAGCCCUGGUGGCCUGGCCAUCCUCUAGGCUGGCAUGUAGGCUGCACCGUCCCUCUUCAGCCGUGUGAGGUUGUGCCUGCCAUGCGGUCUGCCAGGCCGGUGUGGGGUGUUGGGGGCGUCCACUGUUGUGUACGACAUGCAGGGUGUUUGGGCACCUCUUGGCUCCAGCGCUUAAGUUCCCAAGGUGCAUGUGUCAGGGUAAGGGUGUGUGCCAGCUCAGAGCUGAGCCCCUAACCUAAGCACUGCAGAGAGGGAAACUGAGGCCUGGAGGGGGCAGGACUGUUCAGAGAGCUCUGUGGCAGAUACAACCUCCUGAAGCCGACACAGAUCUGGAGCCGGCCUUACAUC